GAUGAACGCUAGCUACAGGCUUAACACAUGCAAGUCGAGGGGCAUCAGGAAGAAAGCUAGCUUUCUUUGCUGGCGACCGGCGCACGGGUGAGUAACACGUAUCCAACCUGCCCUUUACUCGGGGAUAGCCUUUCGAAAGAAAGAUUAAUACCCGAUAGCAUAAUGAUUCCGCAUGGUUUCAUUAUUAAAGGAUUCCGGUAAAGGAUGGGGAUGCGUUCCAUUAGGUUGUUGGUGGGGUAACGGCCCACCAAGCCUUCGAUGGAUAGGGGUUCUGAGAGGAAGGUCCCCCACAUUGGAACUGAGACACGGUCCAAACUCCUACGGGAGGCAGCAGUGAGGAAUAUUGGUCAAUGGGCGCUAGCCUGAACCAGCCAAGUAGCGUGAAGGAUGAAGGCUCUAUGGGUCGUAAACUUCUUUUAUAUAAGAAUAAAGUGCAGUAUGUAUACUGUUUUGUAUGUAUUAUAUGAAUAAGGAUCGGCUAACUCCGUGCCAGCAGCCGCGGUAAUACGGAGGAUCCGAGCGUUAUCCGGAUUUAUUGGGUUUAAAGGGAGCGUAGGUGGACUGGUAAGUCAGUUGUGAAAGUUUGCGGCUCAACCGUAAAAUUGCAGUUGAUACUGUCAGUCUUGAGUACAGUAGAGGUGGGCGGAAUUCGUGGUGUAGCGGUGAAAUGCUUAGAUAUCACGAAGAACUCCGAUUGCGAAGGCAGCUCACUGGACUGCAACUGACACUGAUGCUCGAAAGUGUGGGUAUCAAACAGGAUUAGAUACCCUGGUAGUCCACACAGUAAACGAUGAAUACUCGCUGUUUGCGAUAUACAGUAAGCGGCCAAGCGAAAGCAUUAAGUAUUCCACCUGGGGAGUACGCCGGCAACGGUGAAACUCAAAGGAAUUGACGGGGGCCCGCACAAGCGGAGGAACAUGUGGUUUAAUUCGAUGACACGCGAGGAACCUUACCCGGGCUUAAAUUGCAGUGGAAUGAUGUGGAAACAUGUCAGUGAGCAAUCACCGCUGUGAAGGUGCUGCAUGGUUGUCGUCAGCUCGUGCCGUGAGGUGUCGGCUUAAGUGCCAUAACGAGCGCAACCCUUAUCUUCAGUUACUAACAGGUCAUGCUGAGGACUCUGGAGAGACUGCCGUCGUAAGAUGUGAGGAAGGUGGGGAUGACGUCAAAUCAGCACGGCCCUUACGUCCGGGGCUACACACGUGUUACAAUGGGGGGUACAGAAGGCAGCUAGCGGGUGACCGUAUGCUAAUCCCAAAAGCCUCUCUCAGUUCGGAUCGAAGUCUGCAACCCGACUUCGUGAAGCUGGAUUCGCUAGUAAUCGCGCAUCAGCCACGGCGCGGUGAAAUACGUUCCCGGGCC
rnacentral:rRNA from 1 species